GACGAACGCUGGCGGCGUGCUUAACACAUGCAAGUCGAACGGGAUUUAGUAGACAGAAACCUCGGUGGAAGAUUACUAAUGAGAGUGGCGAACGGGUGAGUAACGCGUGAGCAACCUGCCUAUGACAGUGGGAUAGCCUCGGGAAACCGGGAUUAAUACCGCAUAAAAUCGUAGAAACACAUGUUUUAACGGUCAAAGAUUUAUCGGUCAUAGAUGGGCUCGCGUCUGAUUAGCUAGUUGGUGAGAUAACAGCCCACCAAGGCGACGAUCAGUAGCCGGUCUGAGAGGAUGAACGGCCACAUUGGAACUGAGACACGGUCCAAACUCCUACGGGAGGCAGCAGUGGGGAAUAUUGCACAAUGGGGAAACCCUGAUGCAGCGACGCCGCGUGAACGAAGAAGGUAUUCGUAUCGUAAAGUUCUGUCCUAUGGGAAGAUAAUGACAGUACCAUAGAAGAAAGCUCCGGCUAAAUACGUGCCAGCAGCCGCGGUAAUACGUAUGGAGCGAGCGCUGUCCGGAAUUAUUGGGCGCAAAGGGUACGCAUGCGGUUUAAUAAGUCAAUGUUAAAGAUCGGGGCU
rnacentral:rRNA from 1 species